AUGCAGAGCUGUUGUUCUUACCCUAUCUUUCCACUGUGGUCCUUAAUUAGAGUGUCUCUGGCUGUGGGGAGAACCCUGGCACAUCCCCUGCAUGCCUACUCACUCUCAUCUUCUGGUGCUGCAGCGGCCCGACCACAGAGUUCGCUGGGUUUGUUGAUGUGGAGAUGUCACAUUUCCAUCAGGCACAGCAGAGGUUUCUACAAUUAUCACAUGGAGCAUGGAAGCAAACUGCUUACUCAGCAGAGUUGUUAGUGAAUCACAUAAAAACCAAGCCUUAAUCAUUUCUGUGAUUAUAGCAAAUGCUACACAAGCAGCCUGAAAAAGACACAAUCUCAGUAAUCUUCAAUGAAAC
rnacentral:lncRNA from 1 species